rnacentral:rRNA from 1 species
AAAUUGAAGAGUUUGAUCAUGGCUCAGAUUGAACGCUGGCGGCAGGCCUAACACAUGCAAGUCGAACGGUAACAGGAAGCAGCUUGCUGCUUCGCUGACGAGUGGCGGACGGGUGAGUAAUGUCUGGGAAGCUGCCUGAUGGAGGGGGAUAACUACUGGAAACGGUAGCUAAUACCGCAUAAUGUCGCAAGACCAAAGAGGGGGACCUUCGGGCCUCUUGCCAUCGGAUGUGCCCAGAUGGGAUUAGCUUGUUGGUGGGGUAACGGCUCACCAAGGCGACGAUCCCUAGCUGGUCUGAGAGGAUGACCAGCCACACUGGAACUGAGACACGGUCCAGACUCCUACGGGAGGCAGCAGUGGGGAAUAUUGCACAAUGGGCGCAAGCCUGAUGCAGCCAUGCCGCGUGUAUGAAGAAGGC